CCCUAUCUCAGUAAACACAGAUCGCACUCGCAACCAAGACAUCAGUAGCUACAUGAACGUCAAGAUGAGAAAGAUCGGUGUCGAAGACCUCGCGAGAAACUGGAGAAAGAUGUUUCAAAAACCACGACGAGAGCGUGUGCAAAGGUGCACGAGACAGAUCAGAAGGAGCCAUGGAAGUGUGAAUAUGUUGCAGUUUUAAUUUUUAUUGAGGAAGAUUGGAGUUCCAAUGUGACAAAAAUUGUUGUUUCUCAAAAAAAAUAAAAAUUUGUCAACUGGAAUAACCGGUUAGCAGGUAAUCAAAUAGAAAUAGUGGAUGAUGUGGCAAAUUAACAUUGGAGUGUGUUAGUGGAGUGUGUUAGUGGGUGUGACCCUAGCAUU
rnacentral:lncRNA from 1 species